CGAACUUUGUACUUUGGCUAAGGUGCUGCUCUAUAGCGGUCAACACCUUGGCUGAGUGCAAGGCUUAG
rnacentral:pre_miRNA from 1 species